GACAGAGGUGCCGAGCGUUAGGCGGAAUCACUGGGCUUAAAGCGUGCGCAGGCGGUUCGUUGUGUCGGUGGUGAAAGCCCCGGGCUUAACCUGGGAAUGGCCAUGGAAACUGGCGAACUGGAGUGUGGCAGAGGGGGGUGGAAUUCCGCGUGUAGCAGUGAAAUGCGUAGAGAUGCGGAGGAACACCGAUGGCGAAGGCAGCCCCCUGGGCUAGCACUGACGCUCAGGCACGAAAGCGUGGGGAGCAAACAGG
rnacentral:rRNA from 1 species